GACGAACGCUGGCGGCGUGCUUAACACAUGCAAGUCGAACGGAAAGGCCCUGCUUUUGUGGGGUGCUCGAGUGGCGAACGGGCGAGUAACACGUGAGUAACCUGCCCUUGACUUUGGGAUAACUUCAGGAAACUGGGGCUAAUACCGGAUAGGAGCUCCUGCUGCAUGGUGGGGGUUGGAAAGUUUCGGCGGUUGGGGAUGGACUCGCGGCUUAUCAGCUUGUUGGUGGGGUAGUGGCUUACCAAGGCUUUGACGGGUAGCCGGCCUGAGAGGGUGACCGGCGACAUUGGGCCUGAGAUACGGCCCAGACGCCUACGGGAGGCAGCAGUGGGGAAUAUUGCACAAUGGGCGGAAGCCUGAUGCAGCAACGCCGCGUGCGGGAUGACGGCCUUCGGGUUGUAAACCGCUUUCGCCUGUGACGAAGCGUGAGUGACGGUAAUGGGUAAAGAAGCACCGGCUAACUACGUG
rnacentral:rRNA from 1 species